ACGCGCUUUCGUUAAAUGGUUUACAUAUGCUUGCACCGAAGAUGAUUUUAGCUAUAAAGUGAGUGGCGAACGGGUGAGUAACACGUGGGUAACCUGCCCAGAAGUGGGGGAUAACACCUGGAAACAGAUGCUAAUACCGCAUAACAAAGUAAACCGCAUGGUUUACUUUUAAAAGAUGGCUUCGGCUAUCACUUCUGGAUGGACCCGCGGCGUAUUAGCUAGUUGGUGAGAUAAAGGCUCACCAAGGCAGUGAUACGUAGCCGACCUGAGAGGGUAAUCGGCCACAUUGGGACUGAGACACGGCCCAGACUCCUACGGGAGGCAGCAGUAGGGAAUCUUCCACAAUGGACGAAAGUCUGAUGGAGCAACGCCGCGUGAGUGAUGAAGGCUUUAGGGUCGUAAAACUCUGUUGUUGGAGAAGAACGUGUGUGAGAGUAACUGCUCAUGCAGUGACGGUAUCCAACCAGAAAGCCACGGCUAACUACGUGCCAGCAGCCGCGGUAAUACGUAGGUGGCAAGCGUUAUCCGGAUUUAUUGGGCGUAAAGCGAGCGCAGGCGGUCUUUUAAGUCUAAUGUGAAAGCCUUCGGCUUAACCGAAGAAGUGCAUUGGAAACUGGAAGACUUGAGUGCAGAAGAGGACAGUGGAACUCCAUGUGUAGCGGUGAAAUGCGUAGAUAUAUGGAAGAACACCAGUGGCGAAGGCGGCUGUCUGGUCUGUAACUGACGCUGAGGCUCGAAAGCAUGGGUAGCG
rnacentral:rRNA from 1 species